AUGUCCGGCACGGGUAGCUCAUCGGGGGCCAUUGCGGGUUGGCUUCCUUUGAUCCAAUGCCCUGAUUGCAAGAUUCGCCAGAUUAGGCGGUUUGAGUCCACCACUGAAAAGCAUCCUGGGUGGAUCUUGUACAAGUGUAUGAAUCAUAAGGUAGGGAAGAAACCUUGCAACUUUUGGCGCUGGGAAGCUAGUUACAUUGAUUAUUUGAAGGUAAAUGGACAUCUGAGAGGUGAAUCUGUGGAUAGUAAACUAGUAGAGAUGAAGAAAAAGAAGAACACGACAGAAGUGGAUCCUGAAGAUAUGAUGAAGAUGCUGCUGCUGCUAAAAUCACUUCCAGGAGAUGUUACAGACUUGGUUGCUGUAAUGAAGAUAGCAGUUGUACUGCUUUUUGCAAUUCUCUUUGUGUUAGUGUUAGUUCUAGUUAGGAUGUGA
rnacentral:rRNA from 1 species